GGCCAGGAUUUGGGUAGCAUGGGGGUGAGUCCUCCACCGCCAGGGCUGAAACAACCCCAAUGAGGCUCUGGUCCAUCUGCUCACUGCACAACUGGGUAAACUGAGGCCGGCCAGAGCAGGCAGGUGACCCAGGUCGGUCAGGGAGUGAGCCCAGGUUCUGGAGGCCCGAUGGGCAGGGGAGCGGUGAGAAUGGGCCCCACCUGCACAGAGAGGUGUCUCCCAAGCAGCCCUGAGACCUCAGAGCCUGCACACCUGUCACCGUCCGUUUGCGGGAAAUUAGGAUGAGCCCCUUUGGGAGACGCCAAGGGAUGAAGAAUGCACUCUUGUGCGCACACGCGCACACAUUUGUGCAUGUAUACAUGUGCAUAUGUACGCAUGCACGUAUAUUCACGUAUAUGUGUGUUGGUGUGUGUGCCUGUGCACAGGCCUGGGAAUGGGGCUUCUCUGCAAGGAUCGAGAGGCCCCAGCCUCGCCCAGAAGGGUGGGCAUUGGAGCCGUUCCUGGAGCAGCUGCGUUGAGCUGAGUAAGCCGCUGGGGCAGCAGCCCAGCCUCACCUGUUGGAUCAUUAGGGCAGAGGGUCCAAGUCGGCUAGGCCCGGUGAGCCUCCCCUGGCACACCCCACUUCUCUUCCCCUCUCCAUCUUCCAUGCGUCAUCUGGCUUCAGGCCCUUGGAAGGAGAACAGAGGAGAUGCUGUGAGCGCACAGCAGGCAAAACCUCUGGGGUCCCCAGACCUGCCGGCUCCCCGCACCUGUGGCUACACUGUGGCCUCCCAGCCCUGACCCUUGGAAACAGUCCUCUGGGGCUGACGGUGGCCUUGCCCUUACACGGAGGCCUUUGACUGAGCCUCUGGUCCACUCACCCUUUUGUUAACUGCACAGGGAUCCCCGAGGGCCCGCCAGGUGCCAGAGAGUGGACAGCUGUCCACAGUUUGAGGUGGAAGAGGGGCGUGCCAAGUCGUCAGGCCCCGGGGGUAAAUGCAUGGGCCAGGGAGGCUGGUGGCUGACGUGGGCUGAGCACCUACUGUGUGCUGGCUCUCUGAGACUCGCUGGCCCCCUCACACCAGUCUGACAGGGAGGUGCGGAGUGCCCAGGCUCUGCCUACAGAAUGAAGCCAUGGUUGAGCAGCCCAGAGAAGGUGACUCCGAAGUGUGGGAUGCUGCCUCUGCCUGGGAUCAAGCUCACAACACGGUGGGGGCUUCCCCGGAGGGAGCAAGCCGAGGGUGAAGGGGGGAGAGAGAAAGGCACCGGAGACACAGCCUUUACUACCCAGUCUCCGAAGAAGAGCCCGCCGUGGUUGGACCCAAGUCCCUGGGUCCUGGCCACGCAAAGGGAGGGGGCUGCACAGGCCGCUGGUGCCCCGGAGGAGUUCAUAAAACACAGGCGUGAGAACGAAGGGGAGGGGACCCGUCUGAUCCCAGAGCCUGUCCCCGGGCCUGCACCCAGCUCUGUCCAGACAGAUCCCGCCCUGCAGAUCUGCACCACCUUUUCGAAAAGCUAGACCCCUAAAGCUAUUCACCACCACUGACCCCACAAAGACAUCCCUCCACUGAAGAAACAAGCAAGCAAACACAUAACAACAAAAAGGCAAACCUCCAUUCUUGAAGGUAUUUGUGGCAUUACCUGUCGAAGGGUAUGUAUCGGGGAAGAAGAGUAUUUCAGCGUACAAGGGAGGGAAGGUGACUUUUGACUUACGAGGUUAUUGGAAUAUGAUACAAUGGUUUACAAUAAUAGUUUUCAAAACGACUUUGAUGUUGAGAAAAUAGUGCCGAUUAGAUGUUAAAACAGUAUUAUUCGUGCACUAAAACGGAAACCACUUAAAACGUCUGCACGUACUAAACAUGUUAUUUGAUGUGAGCAAAUGUAAAAAAAAAGUGGUAGAGUAACA